rfam:Cyanothece sp. ATCC 51142 circular chromosome, complete sequence.
AGGAGCCGUAUGAUGCGAAAGUAUCAAGUACGGUUUUGGAGAGCAGUGGAGAAGGUGACUUCUUCACUGACUUUAC